CUGAAACAGCAAUUACGUUUUCUUGUGCACACCUGUAGCCUCUGUAGCUGGAACAGAAUCUAGGACAUGUUUCCGGUUGGAAGUAUUCUAAAUAAGGCACCUAUGAAGUUCUUAUAUAUUUUAUUUAAUGGACACAAGACCUUAUUUUUAUUGGAUACAUACUCACUCAUGGAACUGCUGUGUCACAGGUUGUUAAAAGAAAAACUUCGGCGGAAUUAAACUCAGAGUUCAGCUGAGCAGCGAACUAUUCGGGAAACGGGCCGCCCCCAGAAUCACAGCAGAUUCAGAGAGACUCCAGCGCAGCCACGUGGUGGAAGAUUUACAGACAAACAAAAGAAGAAGAAAAAAAAAAAGGAACUGAGGUACAGAAAUCGGAAGUGAGGUACAGAAAUAGCUUUAUUGGUUACAGGUUGGCGUUUGCCCCAUUCAAACACUCCGCGGUGUAUGAGUGGUUGAUGGAUGGCUGCUGGGAUUGGCCAAGACUCAGCUAUUGUUACACACUCCUAAAUUAGGUUUACAAGUUUGUCUGCCUAUUAAGUUAGGUUGCAGUUUCUCUACAAGGACUCAAAUACAGAAAUA
rnacentral:lncRNA from 10 species